rnacentral:rRNA from 1 species
UACAGAGGCCCCAAGCAUUAUCCGGAAUCACUGGGCGUAAAGGGUGUCAAGGCGGCCAUAUUAGUCUUCUGUCAAAUCCGUGGGCGUCAACCUACGGCUCGCAGGAGAAACGGUAUGGCUCGAGGUUGGAAGAGGUGCGUGGAACUCACGGUGUAGGGGUGAAAUCCGUUGAUAUCGUGGGGAACACCAAAGGCGAAGGCAGCGCACUGGUCCAAUCUGACGCUCACACACGAAAGCCAGGGUAGCCGAACGGG